GUCAUCUUCCAGUUUCUUGUAAUGUCCUGAUCUAACCUUUUGACCUCCCUCAAAUUAAUGUUGCCUCUUCGUCCUGAAGCCAGUGGCUAGCACUGUUCUUUCUACUGAGAUGGGAUUGUUUAAAGCAUAGUGCAGCUGAGAAUAGUACAAUUUUAUUUUCUUUGAGUGGUUUGGAGAAAAUGAUUGCCAAAUAGUUUCAUCACAAUCCAUGAUGUCAGUGAACAAGUAACAAUUGAAAUAUUCAGUUGCUUGAAUAAGAAGCAUAUUGUCAGGUAAUCAAGAAAAGGGGAGUAAAACUCCACUGCAUUCACUACCUUUUAAGUUGUUCUUGAAGUGGCCUCCUAGGCAACUUUGCUAGGGAUGUCUUGCUUUCAGCCUUAUAAGCAAAUAUCACAACACUUUCUUCAUGAACCUAAGUCUGCAGGAGUUUUCCCAAAAGUAUAUUUUCUCCUUAUUUCUCUUCUUCCCUCUCUUUUGCCCUUUCUGGCUUCUGGUACGAAUUUCUAGUCUGUUCUAAUUGUAGUUAGCCCUUUGUUGUUUCGUUUUGAGUUCUAGUAGGUGUAAAUAGGUAGCAUUGGCAAAAGCAUUGUUGAAAAGCCCUUUUAAGUUUAUUUCUGUGGGAAAGAUGUCAGAGCAAUACAGCCUUACAAACAAGCCAUGCCUGUGAUUCUGUGAUAAUGAACAAAACAAAACAAAAUAUUUCAUUCUCCUGUGUAAAGACUGGAAAUAUUCAUGUUAAUAACUUAUUACAAAUGGGAGCCCUUGGGUGUUGGAGGACAGGAAUGUACGUUCCCAUGGACAUGCCAUCCCACUCCAUACCAGGGGAUUAGGCUGAAUGUGUGGGGCCAAAGGUAGGCGAGCCAAGAAUUAUUGGAACUUGUACUGUGCUGGUCCUCAAAGUAGCUGUGGGCAAACGAACACAGAUUUGCUUCAGCUAUGGGAGCCAGAGAUGGACUUUAUCAAGGGACAUAGAGGGAAUAUGGAUAAUUUAUUGCAUCCCAGGAAGCCGCUAAACACUCCUGAGCUGGGAGAAGACUGGAGGAAAGUAUCCCCCCUUCAAGGACACAGUAGGCAAAGGGACAGCUACUGACUGUUGGAUUAUUCACCGUGGUUUUCGAAAGCAGACUGCUGUUCCCCCAGGAAUGAAGCAGGGACUACUCAUUUAACACAGGACUUGAGAUUCAACUGAAAACCUGGAUCCCAGAGGAACAAAGCCAGUCCUCUAUUCAGCAGGUCACUCAGCCACUUCCCACAUGCUAUACUGUUACAACAUGAGGCUGUGGCUGGAGUCUUCAAUUUCAACAAAAAACAAGACCCAACCCUGCCAUGUGGUAGAGGAAUGUCAAUCUAUUUUGAUGUUAAGAACCAAAAUGUCGCGGAUGAAAGAGCAUGUCAAGAUUUACAGUCUUGUUUUUAAUUCAUCUGCAGGCACUGAUUACUAGCAACACUAAAUCAAGCUCCAUUGCCUGUCUGGACAGAGAACACCUGGGGAAGGAAAUCUUGAUCUGCACAGUGGCUGGGACAGAAAGGUGGCCACAGCUCACCUGCAGUAAGGCCUCAUCCCUGCAGAUGGCUGCACUAGAGCUGCUGGUGUGAGCAAAGGGGAGUUGGUGACCCAGUUAUCAGCAGGCUCUGAUCCCACAGUGACACAGAUACAGUAAUGACCUGAUAGCAUGAUCACUGACCUUUGUUUUAAAAACACAAAUACUUUAUAAAUACAAAGCUGCAGACAGCCUGCAAAAGCUGUCUGCAACCCAGAACAAUGCUAUUGCACAAUAACAAUCCCAUUUUGUUUAAAGCAAACAAACAAAAAAAUUCUAACCCAGUUACUCAACAGCUCAGAGGAACGCCAAAUAGUACUGAAAAAAGCCAUCCUCUCCCAGAGUGAAAGGGCCUACCUACAUAUUGUUUGUUCCUGUGGUCAUUCUGCGGGUCCAUUUCUAACAUCCUGUGCAUCUGUGCACGAUGUGGUAACUGCUCCAUGGAUCCACAGCACUGAAGGAGCAGUCUAAGUAAGAGGAGAGUGAGCCUCUGUUUGGUAUCUGUGUUUCACUGUACUAAACUGGGGCCAUCCUGGUUCUUACACCGCGAAUUGCUUUCAAACUCCUAGACUGUUAGGUUGCAGUCAUCCUUGCUUUGGUACACUUCUCAGACAGAUACUUUCUCAGCCUUGGCCAUCCCAGACCGCUCCCCUGAUAUGCUGUAGAACCACGUUCUUUACAUGAGCAACACAAGGGAAAUGAAAGAAAUUCAAGGACAGUGGUAGUGCUGAGUUAUCAAAGUGUUGGAUGCCAAAUAUACUCAAGUAUAAGAACAUCUUCUUAAUCUGUAUGCAGAGUUAUUAUUUUUACUACCUAGAGGUAACAGAUAUUGAAAAGCAGCAUGGGAAGGAUGGGGAACCAGUUCAGUCUCAUGGCCCAGUUUGACCACUUGUGGCAAGCAGUAUAAGGUAGGUCGUUCCCCAUUUAACCCAAAUUUUCUCAGACUGGAAAAACAGAAUCUGGUGCUCAGCUCCACAUUUUAUUUUCAUAAAAUGGAGGAAAUUUAUAUUCCAGAUUUUUUCAACACAUCUUGGGAGCUUUCUCAUCUUAGGAGAUUUCUCACCUUACCUAGAUUUCUUCCGAAUUUUGGAGUUGCCACAGUAAUGCUUUGCAGACAGUCUUUGUAUCACUCAAAGAACCAAAAUGAAAGGGCUAACAAAGACAUGAAGGAAAUAUUUCUUCAUUUACAUAACCAAAUAUUUCUAAAUUAGAAGAUAUUCUACCAGAAGAUUUUCCUACCAGCGCCCAUCAUGGCACUGAGUUUGCAGGAGUUAUAUAACUACAAAUAUAAAUAAAUCAUCCAGAAAGUUAUCUAUUUAACUGUCU
ensembl:lncRNA